UCCCCCCCCUUCCCUUCCUGCUUUGGAUCUGAUGCAAGCUCUCAGCUGCUGUUCCAGUGCCAUGCCUGCCUAUCUGUUAACUGUAUCACCAUGGUGGUGAUGGGCUCACCCUCUGAUAUUGUUAUAUAAACAGUAAGAACUGCUGAGGAGAACAGACUAGCCUGCUGCCUGGAAGAGACUCAGACCUGCCUGAAGGAGAGAUUCUCUGUCCUGUUGAGCUCUCCACAAGUAGUGUAAUGAACUCCAGGGUUCCUGCUCUUGGUGAUGUAGCUAUAUUUGAGUUGACCCUGCCCCUGCCCUUGCCCUUUUACUUAUAUUCUUGUGAAUAACUCUAAUAAACUCAUUGGAUUACCAGA